UUUCCGUAGGUGAACCUGCGGAAGGAUCAUUAACGAGUAAAGUCCUUCGGGACUUUCUUAUCCAAACACCUGUGAAAAUUAAUUUGCUUUGGGAAUUUAAUUAUUCCCAACAAUCAAAACCACUAAGUCGUCUUUUGUCUGAAUGAUUAUUUAAAAAUCAAAACUUUCAACAACGGAUCUCUUGGUUCUC
rnacentral:misc_RNA from 1 species